rnacentral:rRNA from 1 species
UACGUAGGGUGCGAGCGUUGUCCGGAAUUAUUGGGCGUAAAGAGCUCGUAGGCGGUGUGUCACGUCGGCCGUGAAAACCUGCAGCUUAACUGUGGGCGUGCGGUCGAUACGGGCAUCACUGGAGUUCGGCAGGGGAGACUGGAAUUCCUGGUGUAGCGGUGAAAUGCGCAGAUAUCAGGAGGAACACCGGUGGCAAAGGCGGGUCUCUGGGCCGAUACUGACGCUGAGGUGCGAAAGCGUGGGGAGCAAACAGG